UCUCUCCACCUCCUGCUUUGUUCUGAAAAAUCAGAAGAAGAGGGGGAGGAGAUAAUCCCCUUCAAAUGGAGCAUUUAUUACCACAGUUGGGCUUGAAGCGCUGCUUUCCGAGGGGAGUCAUCACAGAUUUAAGCCUCAAAAAACAAAACCAACCACCAAACAAAACCCUCAGUAUGUUCCUACAGGUGCAACAUGAUGUCCCUAUGGGCCAAAAUGGCUUUUAUUUGAUGUUCUGACUGUUCAUUAUACCAAGAAUCUUCUGAAAAGCAAAGUGACUUGCACUGGAGAGAUCCGAGAAAUGCACUCAUUCUAAAUAUACAAGCAGAAUUUCUGUGUUUUAAAGGUGAGAGAGACAAGAACAGCAUCAUCAGGAUUGUCAGAGGAGAGAAGUCUCUUGGCAUCUUGGUUUUUGAGACAGAUUGCUGUGAAAAUGGUAUCAGCUGUUUUGUCUACAGAACUCGAUGUAAAUUUUCUUGCUUAGGCAUUCUUGUAGCCUCUCCGUGAUGUCAAUUAAAUCAACGAAGUGUAAACAAAAGAAAAAUGGUGUGAAGAUGGUUAUCAGAGCUAUGUAUUUAAAUAUUAGCAACAGAUUUCCAACAUGAAAUUGCAAGGAAACAGCUGUGUUAGCAGAACGCUCAGAAGUCCUUGGGGUGAAAUGGGUUUCAACUCAGAGUGCUGAAGGAAUUAGCAUAUAUUAUAGCUGGACCCCUCUCCACAGUUUACGGAAGGUAUUGGGUAUCUGGGGAGGUCCUUGCUUACCAGAAGUUAGUCAAUGUUAUCUGUGUACACGGCAUGAAAGAAGACACAGGAAACUACAUAUCUUUCACGUUGUUUCACCUCAGUCCCUUUAAAAGUUAUGGAGAAGAUCGUCCUGGAGGGUACUGAAAGUCUGUUAAAGAACAAAGCUAUUAUCAGGCAUAGUCAAUAUGGCUUCAUCAAGGGAAAGUCCACCCUUAGUAAUUUGAUCUCUUUCUACAAUAAGGUGAUCGAUGAUCGGUGGCUGAAGGAAGUGAAUGUAAUCUUUCUGGAUGUAAGUAAAGGUUCUGAUACAAUAUUUCAUGGCAUCCUUCUGGGUAUACUGUCCAGCUAUGAAAUGAGCUGGUUUGUGCUAUUCCAGGUGAAAUGACUCAACGGUAGUUGAGCGGUAAAAGGAUCUGCCUCUAGGUGGCAGAUAGUCACCACCGUUAUUUGCCAGGGCUCAACUCUAAAGCUAUUCUCUUUCAAAAUUUUUGUCAGUGGUCUGGAUGAAGGACUGGAGUGCUACUUCUGCAACUUUGCUGACAAUACUAAACUGGGAAGUGCCAUCACCUCCCUAGAGAAAUGAGAGGCCUUGCAGAGAUCUAUAUACAUUGGAGCACGGAGCAAUGUCAUGAAGUUCAACAAAGGAAAGCGCAGGGUUCUGUACCUGGCAUAGAGUAAUGCUAGACACAGGCACAGACUAGGAGAUCAGCUGCUGGAGAGCAGCUUAACAGGAGGAGGCCUGGUGACAGCAGGCUCAGAAAGAGGUAGCAGUUGGCCAAAAUGGCAAAAUGCAUUGUGGAGUUCAUUAAAUACAGCAUAACCAGACAGCAAAAAAAAGUGCAAUAUUUUGAAGCCCUACUUUGAAUAUUGAGGUCAUAAUGUCAUAAAAAUGACAUUAAGGUCCUUGAAUACCAACCUUGAAAGCCAGAGGACAAUGAAGCUAGUAAAAAGAUUGAAAGUCAUGUCUAUGAGGAGAGGCUGAGGACACUUCGAUUCACGUUGGAGAAAAGGAUGCUGGGAGAUGAAAUCACGGUGCUCUACAGCUCCUUGAAGGAAAGUGGAGAGGGAGAAGCCAGUCUCUGCUCCAUGGUAACUGAUGACAUGACAUGCUGGAAGACAAAGCUGCGCAGAGGGAGGUACAGGCUGGAUAUCAGGAAAACUUUGUUUAUGUGAGUGUAGUCAAGCACUGGAACAGCUUCCUAGAGAGAUGGUUAAUGUCUCAUGCCUGUCAGUAUUCAAAAGACAUUUAGACAAUGCCCUCAAUAAUAUUCUUUAUCUUUUGUUUAUUCUAUUCAGUGGUAGGAACAGGAAACAUUUUUCUGCAAGACUUGGAAUAAUCUGCUUCUAAUUCACCUGUGCUGGAGAGUGGUUUUGAUCCUGACAGUCAGCAUUUACUACUAACAAGGUUACCCCAGUUCACAUAAAAAAGCGCAGAUAGGAAAAAAUAUAUAUAUAUAUUUCCAGGAAGCCUAUAUUCAAAGGAUUAACAAUUAAGAAAAUAUCAGAAUUACAAUGCUAUUGAUGUGUACAGAAAACUGAGUUUUUACAAUGGUUGUGAUGUUCCUUUUUUCUCGAUCAGUUCUACUGAAAUAAGAAGUAUUUGACUUAAUGCUGAUAUCUCUCCAGACCAAGAUUUACCUGAGAUUUCCUAGCAGAAAUAUAGGUAAUCUGGGUGAUAUUUUCCUUCUUCUUAUCUUUUUGUCUAAAUCUUAGUGUAAAUUCUUUUGAGAAGAGAUAGUCCUAUGUACAUAUAGAGUUAUUUACUAGGAGAUGAAACUCUAGACACGGUAUUUUAAAUUUGCAACAGAAAACUGAAUACCACUUAGUGCAGAGACAGAAACAAAUCCUUUGAAUAUCUGUAUAUUGUCAAGGUGUGUAAUUAGUGCCUGGAAGUAUAAAUAAUGGUGCUAGUGAUGUCACUGUUUUUCCACUGUUUUCAGAUUGCUAAAUUAACUCCUUCUUCAGGAGAUCUACACUUGGUAAGAGUUUACAUAUAAAUGAACUAAUCUGGUCCCAGAUGUUUCCUGUCUUUUCUUCAGAUGUUAAGUGUAUAAGCUUCUAGCUUGUGGCAAGUAUACAGGAGUUCACAGAAUGACAAGAGACGAGAAAGCUGAGCACUUUGCAGGUGCUGAUUCACAGUCAUAUGGAUACAUCAGUAUGCAGACCUACAGGUACACACAUUUCAGAGCAGGGGUACAUUGUGUAUGUAAUGAUUCUUUGCAAGGAUGAGUUGUAAGAACAAAACACAGAAUGAGGACUGUGACCAGAUGAGUUAGUUAUAAGA